ACCUCAUAUUCGUGCAGUUAACCAAAAGCCAGUUCCAGCAACACUCCAUCAUUCACCUCCGCGAUCCUGCCGCCCUCGGCAAGCUACUCGCGCCAAUUGAAGCGUUUAACGCGACCGAUGACAUCUGGUUCUGAAUCGCAUCCAGUGAGUCGUCUACCGAAUCCGAAUUAUGUUUCAGCUGGCUGAGUCGUCUUCUUCUUUGUUGAAUGAUAACUUGAAUCUGCAGUAACUAGAGAUUAUAAUUUACCAAUUGAAAAUAGUAAAAGGCGAAUUAAAGGUUAGAGAACGGAGAAGUUAGGGUUUUCGAGUGGAGAUAGAAGAGCAUAGUAGGGGAAGGCCGAAGGCGCCGCCGCAUCAGACCAUCAGUGCCGCCGUCGAACUUACAGACGAGUUCAGCGUCCUCCGGUAUAGCCGACGAACCUAGGUCCGACAAAUACGGGUCGGGCAUUGUCUUAUUUGAUUGCCAAGGGUGUGCGAACACCGCAUGGUGCGGUAGGGGUACCACAACAUCAAAUCCAUUCCAAUUGGGCCUUUCCUAACUUUCUAGCAGUUGCAUUUACUAUAGUAUAUUAUACAAGUUUAUUUUAAAAAAAAAAAAAAAAACAUGUAAACAGAAAAUAAAUUUUAAUAUAUAACUUUAAAAUAACAAAGAAAAAAAUGUAUUUAUUAUAAUUUAAUAUCAUAUAUAAGAUAUUUAAUAUUUAAAAUUUUAAUACUUUAUAUAUAUAUAAGUAUAUGACUUUAAUUUUAAAUAUUGAAACAAACCAAAAAUUGACAAGUUGAUAAUAUUUAUUUCAAAAAUACUACAAAAUGAAUGUCAAAACUCAUAAGAGAUUGACAUGUGUCAAAAAAAAAAUUCAUUUAUUAAAAAGGAUACAUAUAUUUUUCACCAUAGUAGUCAUUAUUUUCAUCUUUAUUUUUUUCCAACUUCACUAAGUCAUCUUCAUCUUCUUCUACUUCAUCGGGAUGCAAGGUUGUUAAUUGAAGCAGCAUUUAUCAGAAAAGUAAUGCAACGAACAAUCGACAUAUUAAGAAAAAGCAAAGUUGAAAGUUCACGUACAACAAAGAAAAAACCACCUGCUUUAAAAGAAGAUGAAGUUGAAAGUUCAUGUACCAUAAGGAAAAAACCAUUCAUUUUAAUAGAAAACGAAACUGAAAGUUCAAGCUUCUAGUGGAAGGGCAAACGAUCUUCGCAAAUCUUUUUUCAUAGUCAAGACGUGCUUUUAAUUUGUUAUUAUGUAAUUUUGACUAUUUUAGUUUAAUUAUGAAAAAAUGUUUGUUGAUAAAUUUUGAAUUUAUUUUAUUUAUUUAUUUUUAUUUUUUGAAGAUGCAAAUAUAAAUAGAUAAUUAAUUCAUAAACUAACACAUAAUUCAACUAUGUCCACAAACGGAUUUUAACCCUCAAUCUCAAAAAAAGAAACAUCAUCUCAUACCAUCGGUCACCUCCACGAUCCUUUCGCUUUCGCCAAUUUAAUCCUUCAUCCCCUGGCUUCUAUCUGUAGACGGCGGCAUUUUUGUCAAUUGAAACAUUUAACGCGAUCAAUGACAACUGGUUUCGAAUCUUGUUGAGAGAGUCGUCUACCGAGUCCAAAUUAUGUUUCAGUCAGCUGAGUCGUCUUCUUCUUUGUUGGAUUAUAGCUUGAAUCUGACGUAACUGGAGAUUAUAAUUAGCCAAUCGAAAAUAGUAAAAUGUGAAUUAAAGGUUAGAGAACGGAGAAG
rnacentral:lncRNA from 1 species